GUUACAGUGGCCGAGUGGUUAAGGCGACGCCCUGCUAUUUCGCGGUUUAGGCGUUGGGUUCUGCCUGCGCAGGUUCGAAUCCUGUCUGUAACG
rfam:Pichia sorbitophila strain CBS 7064 chromosome G complete sequence.